rnacentral:rRNA from 1 species
UACGUAGGGCGCAAGCGUUAUCCGGAAUUAUUGGGCGUAAAGAGCUCGUAGGCGGUUUGUCGCGUCUGCCGUGAAAGUCCGGGGCUCAACUCCGGAUCUGCGGUGGGUACGGGCAGACUAGAGUGCGGUAGGGGAGAUUGGAAUUCCUGGUGUAGCGGUGGAAUGCGCAGAUAUCAGGAGGAACACCGAUGGCGAAGGCAGAUCUCUGGGCCGUAACUGACGCUGAGGAGCGAAAGCGUGGGAGCGAACAGG